rnacentral:misc_RNA from 1 species
UACGAGGGGUGCAAACGUUAUUCGGAAUUACUGGGCGUAAAGGGUGUGUAGGCGGUAUAUUAAGUCUGUUGUUAAAGGUUCCGGCUCAACCGGAGGUCAGCGAUAGAAACUGAUAUGCUAGAGGAUGGAAGAGAGAAGUGGAAUUCCUGGAGUAGCGGUAAAAUGCGUAGAUCUCAGGAGGAACACCAAUUGCGAAGGCAGCUUCUUGGUCCAUUUCUGACGCUGAAACACGAAAGCGUGGGGAGCAAACAGG